rnacentral:rRNA from 1 species
GGGGGGUACCGCUAAUACUGCUAGUCGAACGCUUUGUGGUUCAACUGAUUUGAAGAGCUUGCUCAGAUAUGACGAUGGACAUUGCAAAGAGUGGCGAACGGGUGAGUAACACGUGGGAAACCUACCUCUUAGCAGGGGAUAACAUUUGGAAACAGAUGCUAAUACCGUAUAACAAUGACAACCGCAUGGUUGUUAUUUAAAAGAUGGUUCUGCUAUCACUAAGAGAUGGUCCCGCGGUGCAUUAGCUAGUUGGUAAGGUAAUGGCUUACCAAGGCGAUGAUGCAUAGCCGAGUUGAGAGACUGAUCGGCCACAAUGGGACUGAGACACGGCCCAUACUCCUACGGGAGGCAGCAGUAGGGAAUCUUCCACAAUGGGCGAAAGCCUGAUGGAGCAACGCCGCGUGUGUGAUGAAGGGUUUCGGCUCGUAAAACACUGUUGUAAGAGAAGAAUGACAUUGAGAGUAACUGUUCAAUGUGUGACGGUAUCUUACCAGAAAGGAACGGCUAAAUACGKGCCAGCAGCCGCGGUAAUACGUAKGUUCCAAGCGUUAUCCGGAUUUAUUGGGCGUAAAGCGAGCSCAGACGGUUAUUUAAGUYUGAAGKGAAAGCCCUCAGCUCAACUGAGGAAUUGCUUUGGAAACUGGAUGACUUGAGUSCAGUAGAGGAAAGUGGAACUCCAUGKGUAGCGGUGAAAUGCGUAGAUAUAUGGAAGAACACCAGUGGCGAAGGCGGCUUUCUGGACUGUAACUGACGUUGAGGCUCGAAAGUGUGGGUAGCAAACAGGAUUAGAUACCCUGGUAGUCCACACCGUAAACGAUGAGUGCUAGGUGUUUGAGGGUUUCCGCCCUUAAGUGCCGCAGCUAACGCAUUAAGCACUCCGCCUGGGGAGUACGACCGCAAGGUUGAAACUCAAAGGAAUUGACGGGGACCCGCACAAGCGGUGGAGCAUGUGGUUUAAUUCGAAGCAACGCGAAGAACCUUACCAGGUCUUGACAUCCCUUGACAACUCCAGAGAUGGAGCGUUCCCUUCGGGGACAAGGUGACAGGUGGUGCAUGGUUGUCGUCAGCUCGUGUCGUGAGAUGUUGGGUUAAGUCCCGCAACGAGCGCAACCCUUAUUACUAGUUGCCAGCAUUCAGUUGGGCACUCUAGUGAGACUGCCGGUGACAAACCGGAGGAAGGUGGGGAUGACGUCAAAUCAUCAUGCCCCUUAUGACCUGGGCUACACACGUGCUACAAUGGCGUAUACAACGAGUUGCCAACCCGCGAGGGUGAGCUAAUCUCUUAAAGUACGUCUCAGUUCGGAUUGUAGGCUGCAACUCGCCUACAUGAAGUCGGAAUCGCUAGUAAUCGCGGAUCAGCACGCCGCGGUGAAUACGUUCCCGGGUCUUGUACACACCGCCCGUCACACCAUGAGAGUUUGUAACACCCAAAGCCGGUGGGGUAACCUUCGGGAGCCAGCCGUCUAAGGGGAACA